rnacentral:rRNA from 1 species
AGUGAACGCUGGCGGUAGGCCUGACACAUGCAAGUCGAACGGCAGCACAGUAAGAGCUUGCUCUUACGGGUGGCGAGUGGCGGACGGGUGAGGAAUACAUCGGAAUCUACUUUUUCGUGGGGGAUAACGUAGGGAAACUUACGCUAAUACCGCAUACGACCUACGGGUGAAAGCAGGGGAUCUUCGGACCUUGCGCGAUUGAAUGAGCCGAUGUCGGAUUAGCUAGUUGGCGGGGUAAAGGCCCACCAAGGCGACGAUCCGUAGCUGGUCUGAGAGGAUGAUCAGCCACACUGGAACUGAGACACGGUCCAGACGCCUACGGGAGGCAGCAGUGGGGAAUAUUGGACAAUGGGCGCAAGCCUGAUCCAGCCAUACCGCGUGGGUGAAGAAGGCCUUCGGGUUGUAAAGCCCUUUUGUUGGGAAAGAAAAGCAGCAGGUUAAUACCCCGCUGUUCUGACGGUACCCAAAGAAUAAGCACCGGCUAACUUCGUG